GGGCGUGUGGCUCAGUUGGUAGAGCGCCCGCUUAGCAUUGUUUCUGUUGAACAAAAAGUGAUUGCGGAAGGUCCCCGGUUCGAUUCCGGGCUCGUCCA